UUUCAGGUUCAAAUUGUGACUAUAGCACUGGAUCCCAUCAGACCUCCAAAGUUAAGCAUCCCUAGGCUUGAAUUACUAGUACUGGACCCAUGAACUCUAAAUACAAGGAAU
rnacentral:rRNA from 1 species